GACGAACGCUGGCGGCGUGCUUAACACAUGCAAGUCGAACGGAAAGGCCUUUUCGGAGGUACUCGAGUGGCGCACGGGUGAGUAACACGUGGGUGAUCUGCCCUGCACUCUGGGAUAAGCCUGGGAAACUGGGUCUAAUACCGGAUAGGACCGCACUUUAGUGUGUGUGGUGGAAAGUUUUUUCGGUGUAGGAUGAGCCCGCGGCCUAUCAGCUUGUUGGUGGGGUAAUGGCCUACCAAGGCGGCGACGGGUAGCCGGACUGAGAGGUUGGUCGGCCACAUUGGGACUGAGAUACGGCCCAGACUCCUACGGGAGGCAGCAGUGGGGAAUAUUGCACAAUGGGCGCAAGCCUGAUGCAGCGACGCCGCGUGGGGGAUGACGGCCUUCGGGUUGUAAACUCCUUUCGCCAGGGACGAAGCGUUUUGUAACGGUACCUGGAGAAGAAGCACCGGCUAACUACGUG
rnacentral:rRNA from 1 species